rnacentral:lncRNA from 1 species
AUGAUGCGAUCGCACCGGCGUGAAACGGGUUCUUUUCGAGUUUCAGUGCUGACGUUGCGUGUCGCCAUCAACAGCCGAGAUGCGCACCUACACCCUCCUCCUCGCCCUUUGGUCAUCUUAGGCGCAGCUGUCAUCGCUCACCCCGCCAAUGACGACACAGGAAAGGAGACGACCAAACCGAGAAAAUCUGAUGACGACAUAGGAAAGGAUACGACCAAACCGAGAAAAUCUGAUGACGACUCAGGAAAGGAGACGACCAAACCAGCAAAAUCUGAUGACGACUCAAGAGGACCAACUUUCUUUCCUGCAACCUCGGACCCUAGGAAGACUGAUGACGGCACGGGAAAGGAUGUGACCAAACCGGCAAAAUCUGACAACUCCGAGGAAAAGGAGGUGACCAAACCAACGAAACUUGAUGAUAGCGGCAAAGAUAAAGAUAAAGAGAACAACGGCAAAGAUAAAGAUAAAGACGUUACAAACGCCAACCCGGAUAAAACUACGAUCAGACCAGAAAGCGGAGAAAAUAAUAAGAAUGACACGAUUGCUAUAUCGAGGACCUUGCUAAGCAACUUAGUCAACAGUAUAGCUGAGAUUAGUUCUGGAGUAUUUGCAGCAAUUGGAUAGAC